GAUGAACGCUGGCGGCGUGCUUAACACAUGCAAGUCGAACGAAGCAUUUGCGACAGAUUUCUUCGGAAUGAAGUUGCUUAUGACUGAGUGGCGGACGGGUGAGUAACUCGUGGGUAACCUGCCUUGUACUGGGGGAUAGCAGCUGGAAACGGCUGGUAAUACCGCAUAAGCGCACAAUGUUGCAUGACAUGGUGUGAAAAACUCCGGUGGUAUAAGAUGGACCCGCGUCUGAUUAGCUAGUUGGUGAGAUAACAGCCCACCAAGGCGACGAUCAGUAGCCGACCUGAGAGGGUGACCGGCCACAUUGGGACUGAGACACGGCCCAGACUCCUACGGGAGGCAGCAGUGGGGAAUAUUGCACAAUGGAGGAAACUCUGAUGCAGCGACGCCGCGUGAGUGAAGAAGUAAUUCGUUAUGUAAAGCUCUAUCAGCAGGGAAGAUAGUGACGGUACCUGACUAAGAAGCUCCGGCUAAAUACGUG
rnacentral:rRNA from 1 species